GAUGAAGAACGUAGCGAAAUGCGAUACUUGGUGUGAAUUGCAGAAUCCCGUGAACCAUCGAGUCUUUGAACGCAAGUUGCGCCCGAAGCCAUUAGGCCGAGGGCACGCCUGCCUGGGCGUCACACGUCGUUGCCCCCCCAUCUACUCCUUCGGGAUUGCGGGGGGCGGAUGAUGGCCUCCCGUGCGCCUCGUCGCGCGGUUGGCAUAAAUGCCAAGUCCUCGGCGACGCACGCCACGACAAUCGGUGGUUGCGAAACCUCGGUUGCCCGUCGUGUGCGGUCGUCGCGCAUCGAGGGCUCGAAAAAAUUGCCGGGCUCCGGCUCGGCUUUCAACGCGACCCCAGGUCAGGCGGUGUUACCCGCUGAAUUUAAGCAUAUCAAUAAGCGGAGGA
rnacentral:misc_RNA from 1 species